GACACGUGGUAUCCUGUCUGAAUAUGGGGGGACCAUCCUCCAAGGCUAAAUACUCCUGACUGACCGAUAGUGAACCAGUACCGUGAGGGAAAGCGAAAAGAACCCCGGCGAGGGGAGUGAAAAAGAACCUGAAACCGUGUACGUACAAGCAGUGGGAGCACCUUCGGGUGUGACUGCGUACCUUUUGUAUAAUGGGUCAGCGACUUAUAUUCUGUAGCAAGGUUAACCGUAUAGGGGAGCCGCAGGGAAACCGAGUCUUAACUGGGCGUUAAGUUGCAGG
rnacentral:rRNA from 1 species